AGUGGCCUUCAAAAUAUUUUCGGUAGCCAAAAAGGAAAGAAAUCUACAAAUAUUAUCCUAAAAUCUAAAAAAAUUAUAUACUCUGAAUUUAACUGGUCCAAGCCUUAAACAUCAGAUUUUCGAGGGAAAAAAAAAGACUUUUUUCAAGUUUGUGAGUAAUUUUUAAUAAAAAUAUUCAAAGAUAGAAAAAAUCUAAAAAAGAAAUCUUUUUUAUAAACUAAUAAAUCUAUAACUUAAUAAAAUCUUUGAUUUGACUGUAUAUACAUUAAUUAAAGUUUAGAAAUUUGACUUUCAUAUUGUCUUAUUAUAUGAUUUGGUGAAUAUUUGAUGUUUUAUAGAAUUUAAAUAUGGUUUCGAUAUAAUUUUACUAAAUAUUAUCAAAAUAUAUUUGAAGUUUUAUAAAAAAAUAGAGGUAUUUUGUUGUGAAUAUAAAACCUACAAUAUAAUGUUUAAUUUGUAUUUAUCUAAAAUAUAUAUAUAAACAGAUUAUUAAUUUAUAAUUUUAAUGAGACCAUAUAUUUACAUAGAAGCUUCUAAACAUUAUUAUAUUAAUAUUUUAUUGAUUUGUGUUAUAUUUUGAACUGAUCCACUUCAAGAUCGAGGAAAAUUAGUAAUUUAUAGUGUCUAUCAAUUUAUCGCUUAUUAAUUUAUAGAGUUUUACUGUAAUCUUAAAUUAUUGGCCUUCAAAAUGUUUUCGGUAGCCAAAAAGGAAAGUAAUCUACAAAUAUUAUCCUAAAAUCUAAAAUUUUUAUAUACUCUGAAUUUAACUAGUCCAAGCCUUAAACAUCAGAUUUUCCAGAGAGAAAAAAAAGGACUUGUUUUCAAGUUUGUGAGUAACUUUUUUUUAAAAGUAUGGCUAUGGAAAGCACGAACCAGCAGAUUGUUGACGCAACGAUCGAAGACGCGAUAUAUUGUCACCAAUGUCGUCACAGGAGAUCGGAUGCUGUUGGAACUUGCGUGACUAAGGAGGGAACCAAGACAUGUGGGUUGAAGUUUUGUCCUAAGUGCCUGUUGAGCAGGUUUGGUUUUGAUGUUUUGAGAUUUAUGUCUUUUGUUAUGAGAAACGUGCAAGCUCUAGUGAUAUGUAUUGGCUCGAAUUAAUAGGUACGGAGAGAUCGGGGAGGAGGUUGCGCUGAAUGAUAAUUGGGUUUGUCCCAGAUGUAGGAAAAUUUGCAAUUGUAGUAAGUGCAUGUAAGUCAAAAUCAUCCAUUAUAUAUAUAUAUAUAUAUAUAUAUAUAUUAAGGCACUUUUAUUAAAUUUUGUUUUCUUUUUUCUUCCAGGAAGAAUAAAGGUGAGAAGCCUACUGGAAUGUUGACAGCCACAGCUAAGAAAAAUGGUUGUUCCAAUGUCUCUGAGUUCCUCAAAAAAGAGGGUUCUGAAAAAUACUUUUACAGGGGGAAGGUGAAACCGGUACGAAGCUAUGAUCCUUUGUAUUGUGUCGAUUAUAGCUUUUAUGUCUUGUUUGAUGAUAUUGGUAUCUGCAGGAAAAUGUUAUUGGACAAGGGAAUUGUGCUGAAGGGAUAAAUGAUUCAACUGCUGGCUGCAGCGAGGAGAAUGCUGCGGCAAGAACCAAACCCGUUCUCAAGGAGAAAGAGGAGUUUCAGCUUGCGGAGGUUAAGCUACCACAGGGCAUCCAAUCAAUCACUGUUUCAAGUGUUGACUUGCACCCUGAAAAUGCUGGAAGUGUGCUUCAGUUUUUAGAGUUCUGUUUAACGUUUAGAGAGGUAUCAUCCUUUGAAUAUAAUUAAAGAUCACUAAUAGUUCCUCUCACUUCAUAUGACUUUAUGAAUAGGCUCUGGGUUUGAGGGACGGGCAAGCUCAUUCGGUUGUACAUGAGGUUCUAUCUGAAAGAAGCACGAGCCAAGAGCAUUCUAUGCUUACCCAGACGAUAAUCCAGUUACUGACUCUUAUACUAGCAGACAGAGGAGAAAUAUCGGUUGGCAUUAGUGCCACUGAUGAUAGGUGGUUCACUAUUCUUGGAGAGUGUCUUGCGGAAUCAGAAGUUAAGCUUGAUGACUUCCCUCCUGAGAUGUUUCAUAAAGGCAUUUCUGAGUAUGCGGAGAUGGAUUCAUCACAAAAGCUUAAGCUUUUGAAUUAUUUAUGCGAUGAAGCGCUUGGCAUAUCGUACGUUAUAGAGACAUAUUCAUACAUACAUACAUACAUACAUAUAUAUAAGAGGGCUUAAAUGCUGUGAUAAAUUUAUCAGGCUGAUGAGGAAUUUCAUCGAUAACCAUGAAAACCCUAAAUAUGUUGAAAAGAAAAAGAGAGCAGAAGAAAAGUUGAAUGCAGCAGAAGCUAAGGUAACCAUAAAAAAUCUACUUAGGUUUUUACAGUUAAGUUUAAUAACGCUUAGAUUCAUUCUAAAACAUUUCUGUUGUAGGAGAAAGAACUGUAUCAGAAGAUAAAAGAUGAUUUUUCCAAAACUGAAGCAGAUAAUAAUGGGGUUGCAUUAACAAUCGAACAACGGGUUGCAAUUAUAUCGCAAAUGUCUGCUGAAUCUGAAGAAGUUCAUUUUGAAAAGAAAAAGGCAUUAGAAAUGCAACCUAAAAGUCAAGAAUAUAACGAUGCUCUUAGAACCAACCCUGUUGAACUGGAAGACAAUGGUCUUAUUCUCUGGAAUUUGAAGUCGUACAAUGAAGAACCAACCAUUUUGCUUCAAGAUUUGGGAAGCUAUAGUGACAUAUGUCCUCAUGAAAAAUGGUAUUCUUUUAGCUCCGAGCAGAAACCACAGGUUGAAAAGUACAUCACUUUCAAAAGG